rnacentral:rRNA from 1 species
AGAUAAUAGAUACCCAGGUAGUCCACGCCCUAAACGAUGUCGACUGGUUGUUGGGGGUUUGACACUCUCAGUAAACGAAAGCUAAACGCGUGAAGUCGACCGCCUGGGGAGUACGGCCGCAAGGUUAAAACUCAAAGGAAUUGACGGGGACCCGCACAAGCGGUGGAUUAUGUGGAUUAAUUCGAUGCAACGCGAAAAACCUUACCUACCCUUGACAUGUCCUGAAUCCCGGUGAGAGCUGGGAGUGCCCGAAAGGGAACGGGAACACAGGUGCUGCAUGGCUGUCGUCAGCUCGUGUCGUGAGAUGUUGGGUUAAGUCCCGCAACGAGCGCAACCCUUGUCAUUAGUUGCUACAUUCAGUUGGGCACUCUAAUGAGACUGCCGGUGACAAACCGGAGGAAGGUGGGGAUGACGUCAAGUCCUCAUGGCCCUUAUGGGUAGGGCUUCACACGUAAUACAAUGGCGCGUACAGAGGGUUGCCAAGCCGCGAGGUGGAGCCAAUCCCACAAAGCGCGUCGUAGUCCGGAUUGGAGUCUGCAACUCGACUCC